CCUACGGGAGGCAGCAGUGAGGAAUAUUGGUCAAUGGACGAGAGUCUGAACCAGCCAAGUAGCGUGAAGGAUGACUGCCCUAUGGGUUGUAAACUUCUUUUAUAUGGGAAUAAAAUGUUCCACGUGUGGGAUUUUGUAUGUACCAUAUGAAUAAGGAUCGGCUAACUCCGUGCCAGCAGCCGCGGUAAUACGGAGGAUCCGAGCGUUAUCCGGAUUUAUUGGGUUUAAAGGGAGCGUAGGUGGAUUGUUAAGUCAGUUGUGAAAGUUUGCGGCUCAACCGUAAAAUUGCAGUUGAAACUGGCAGUCGUGAGUACAGUAGAGGUGGGCGGAAUUCGUGGUGUAGCGGUGAAAUGCUUAGAUAUCACGAAGAACUCCGAUUGCGAAGGCAGCUCACUGGAUUGCAACUGACACUGAGGCUCGAAAGUGUGGGUAUCAAACAGGAUUAGAUACCCCAGUAGUC
rnacentral:rRNA from 1 species